GUAGUGGUGGUUCAGUGGUAGAAUUUUUACCUUCCAUCAGGGAGACCUGAGUUUGAGUCUCAGCCAAUUCA
rnacentral:tRNA from 1 species